AGCUAAUUAACUUAAUUUAAAGUUUGUAUUUUGAAAAUAUAAUAUGUAAGUUAAAAUCUUACAUUAGCUU
rnacentral:tRNA from 1 species